CCGCUCCCAGGACGUCCUGUGGCAAUGGCAGUGGCAGCUCGUCAGGGACCCCAGGCCCCGAAGAAGAGACCGUCUCUUACCUGACAAGAUCAAGGGGUAGAAGGUGGAAGGUCAUGAAGUCCUUGGAAUAACUGUUCGGAAAAUUACAAGUCUCCAAAAUGCCAGGAUUUAACUGUUAAUGUCAUUUAGAAUUUGAUCAGCCCCUGCUAGGAUCCAGUGGCUUUGCUUGAAGCGACAGCAAAUAUAACACACCAACUUUGUUAUAUCUUUGGCUCAAUGGUAAAGAAUCCACCUACCAAGGUAGGAGACGUGGGUUUGCCUGGGUCAGGAAGAUCCCCUUGCAAAGGAAAUAGCAACCUAUUCCUAUAUUCUUGCCUUGAAAAUCCCAUGGACAGAGGAACCUGGUGGGCUACAAUCCAUGGGGUAGCAAAGAGUCAGACACAACAUAGUGACUAAACAAUAACAAUAGUUGAUUAACUAUUUGAUUAUUCAAAUAGUUGAUUAACAAUGUUGUGAUAGUUGCAGGUGGACAGUAAAGGGACUCAACCAUACAUAUACAUAUACA